UUCAGUUGGCUUUGGAGCUUCCAUAUAAAGAGGCAGUCUACAACCAAAGAGCUAUGUCUUCUGUGCCAAAAGAUGAGAAACAGUCAGCUUUGGUGAUUUGUUGUAGGUUCCUGGAGACCUUCUUCUGGCAUUGGUGCGUGUAGAAAAGGUGGAGAAGAUGAUCUUGGAUAGGAUCCCAAAGGAGGCCUAUCAUAUCCUUGAGGACUCCCCUGGCUUUAUGAUGUCAUCCAUCCAGCUGAACUGUCAGUUUCUGUCAGCUCUCAGUGAUCUGAGUGAAGAUGGCCUCCAAGAGAAAAGAAGGAAGGUGAGCAAUCCAGGAACUGGUGCUCUAAAUUUGCAACCUGCUGACUGGAGGACAGUACCAAGUCUCCUGGGAGAAAAAUAGUCAAAUUUAUUAUUGACAUGGAACUCCAAAAUGUGGAGCAAUGUGAUUUCUCCACAAGGGUCAGCACCAGGAAGAAGAAGAUUCUCUUUAUGAGAAGGGACAUCAAAAAAGAAGACAAACUAAUGUUUCUGGCAAGAGAUCAAUGAGAGGACCAGGCAGACAGGCCAACCAAUAGAUACCCUUUGGAAUUAGGGUUUCCCAUGGCUGGGCUUUUCCCCCAGCAGGAGCGCAUCAUGGUUCAGGGCAUGUAUUCUAUCGCCAGUCAGCUGAAGCUGAAGCAGAGCAGGCUAAUGGCAGUCCCGGUUCCCAUAAACAAGGACCUCUAUAGCUUUUCUGUCUUGGCUCUGAUGAAGGAAAACCAUUUAAGCAGCUUCACAGUAGGACUCUAUGCAUUACUUUCAGUCUAUGACAUCAGCAAGGUUCCCCCAGCCAUGGACCCCUGCAUUGAGUUUCGCCUCCUAGAGAUCUUUGGGUUCGUGUGGUUGUCCUCAAUAGGCCAAGAGAAGAAGGGGAAUGUCUGUGUAAGACACUUUGGCAACAGUACGAUGGACUUCUUUCUGUCACUUCCAGUUCAUUGAAGUCCAGUAGGCAUUUCCACAAUUUCUGGUUGAAAUUCAACUGGCUGAAAAUAAGGAUAGUUUCAUUAAUGAAGCUGAACACAGAAAGAAAGGGAUUAAGAUGCUGCCUUCCAGAGUAGUUCCUGAUAUUUCAAGAAAGAACCUGGAGAACCACUCACCCUUUUUCAGCCUGGCAGUGACGGACGCUCAUAUUGGGCAGGAGAAGAACCAUGAGUCACCUUCCCAGCCAGGAGAUGAAGGACCACUCUUGGCAGAUUUCCAAGAUGAAUUCCAUAUGCUGAAGGAGAUUCUGACUGAACUUGCUGACACUGAACCGCUUUUUUCUUCCAUUGAUCCUCUCCAUCGGAAGACCUCCCAAGAAGGGCCUUAGAAGGAAGUAUCCCAAUCCUGGAUCCCCACUUUUAUCAAAGAGAUCCAGGAUCAGUGUGACAAAAGGGCCCAAUUCUCAAGGCAGCC